rnacentral:rRNA from 1 species
AACGUAGGUGGCGAGCGUUAUCCGGAUUUACUGGGCGUAAAGGGUGUGCAGGCGGGCUGUUAAGUGGUGUAUGAAAUAUCCCGGCUCAACCGGGAGAGGUUAUGCCAGACUGGCAGUCUAGAGAGCGAGAGAGGGACGUGGAAUUCCGGGUGUAGUGGUGAAAUGCGUAGAGAUCCGGAGGAACACCCGUGGCGAAGGCGGCCCUCUGGCUCGACCCUGACGCUGAGGCGCGAAAGCGUGGGGAGCGAACGGG